CCUACGGGCGGCAGCAGUGAGGAAUAUUGGUCAAUGGACGAGAGUCUGAACCAGCCAAGUAGCGUGAAGGAUGACUGCCCUAUGGGUUGUAAACUUCUUUUAUAUGGGAAUAAAACGUUCCACGUGUGGGAUUUUGUAUGUACCAUAUGAAUAAGGAUCGGCUAACUCCGUGCCAGCAGCCGCGGUAAUACGGAGGAUCCGAGCGUUAUCCGGAUUUAUUGGGUUUAAAGGGAGCGUAGGUGGAUUGUUAAGUCAGUUGUGAAAGUUUGCGGCUCAACCGUAAAAUUGCAGUUGAAACUGGCAGUCUUGAGUACAGUAGAGGUGGGCGGAAUUCGUGGUGUAGCGGUGAAAUGCUUAGAUAUCACGAAGAACUCCGAUUGCGAAGGCAGUUCACUGGACUGCAACUGACACUGAGGCUCGAAAGUGUGGGUAUCAAACAGGAUUAGAGACCCCAGUAGUC
rnacentral:rRNA from 1 species